rnacentral:rRNA from 1 species
UGGAUAACCUACCCUUAGGACCGGAAUAACCCCGGGAAACUGGGGAUAAUACCGGAUAAGCCAUAGACGCUGGAAUGCCCUAUGGUUCAAAGCUCCGGCGCCUAAGGAUGGAUCUGCGGUCUAUCAGGUUGUAGUGGGUGUAACGUACCUACUAGCCGACGACGGAUACGGGUUGUGAGAGCAAGAGCCCGGAGAUGGAUUCUGAGACACGAAUCCAGGCCCUACGGGGUGCAGCAGGCGCGAACACUUUACAAUGCGGGAAACCGCGAUAAGGGAACCCCGAGUGCCAGCAUCAAAUGUUGGCUGUCCGGAUGAUUAAAAAUCAUUUGUUAGCAAGGGCCGGGCAAGACCGGUGCCAGCCGCCGCGGUAACACCGGCGGCCCGAGUGGUAGCCGUUUUUAUUGGGUCUAAAGGGUCCGUAGCCGGCCUGAUAAGUCCUUUGGGAAAUCUGGCAGCUUAACUGUCAGGCUUCUAAGGGAUACUGUCAGGCUUGGGACCGGAAGAGGUAAGGGGUACUCCAGGGGUAGGAGUGAAAUCUUGUAAUCCCUGGGGGACCAUCUGUGGCGAAGGCGCCUUACCAGAACGGGUCCGACGGUGAGGGACGAAAGCUAGGGGAGCAAACCGGAUUAGAUACCCGGGUAGUCCUAGCUGUAAACGAUGCUCGCUAGGUGUCAGACACGGUGCGACCGUGUUUGGUGCCGCAGGGAAGCCGUUAAGCGAGCCACCUGGGAAGUACGGUCGCAAGGCUGAAACUUAAAGGAAUUGGCGGGGGAGCACUACAACGGGUGGAGCCUGCGGUUUAAUUGGAUUCAACGCCGGAAAACUCACCGGGUGCGACAGCAACAUGUAGGUCAGGCUGAAGGUCUUACCUGAAUCGCUGAGAGGAGGUGCAUGGCCGUCGUCAGUUCGUACUGUGAAGCAUCCUGUUAAGUCAGGCAACGAGCGAGACCCGCGCCCACAGUUGCCAGCAUGUUCUCUGGAACGAUGGGUACACUGUGGGGACCGCCGCUGCUAAAGCGGAGGAAGGAACGGGCUACGGUAGGUCAGUAUGCCCCGAAUCUCCCGGGCUACACGCGGGCUACAAU